rnacentral:rRNA from 1 species
UACGUAGGGGGCAAGCGUUGUCCGGAAUCAUUGGGCGUAAAGAGCGUGUAGGCGGCCCGAUAAGUCCGCUGUGAAAGUCCAGGGCUCAACCCUGGGAUGCCGGUGGAUACUGUCGGGCUCGAGUCCGGAAGAGGAGUGUGGAAUUCCUGGUGUAGCGGUGGAAUGCGCAGAUAUCAGGAGGAACACCGGUGGCGAAGGCGGAUCUCUGGGCCAUUACUGACGCUGAGGAGCGAAAGCGUGGGGAGCGAACAGG